CAGAUCCGGAGCUUGCUCCCUGAUGUUAGCGGCGGACGGGUGAGUAACACGUGGGUAACCUGCCUGUAAGACUGGGAUAACUCCGGGAAACCGGGGCUAAUACCGGAUGCUUAUUUGAACCGCAUGGUUCAAAUAUAAAAGGUGGCUUCGGCUACCACUUACAGAUGGACCCGCGGCGCAUUAGCUAGUUGGUGAGGUAACGGCUCACCAAGGCAACGAUGCGUAGCCGACCUGAGAGGGUGAUCGGCCACACUGGGACUGAGACACGGCCCAGACUCCUACGGGAGGCAGCAGUAGGGAAUCUUCCGCAAUGGACGAAAGUCUGACGGAGCAACGCCGCGUGAGUGAUGAAGGUUUUCGGAUCGUAAAGCUCUGUUGUUAGGGAAGAACAAGUACCGUUCGAAUAGGGCGGUACCUUGACGGUACCUAACCAGAAAGCCACGGCUAACUACGUGCCAGCAGCCGCGGUAAUACGUAGGUGGCAAGCGUUGUCCGGAAUUAUUGGGCGUAAAGGGCUCGCAGGCGGUUUCUUAAGUCUGAUGUGAAAGCCCCCGGCUCAACC
rnacentral:rRNA from 1 species